rnacentral:rRNA from 1 species
UUGGAGGGCAAGUCUGGUGCCAGCAGCCGCGGUAAUUCCAGCUCCAAUAGCGUAUAUUAAAGUUGCUGCAGUUAAAAAGCUCGUAGUUGAAUUUCGGGACCAUCAUGUCGGUCGUGCCUCGGUACGCACUGGCAUCGUCGGUUUCUCCCUUCUGACGAACCAUGAUGUCAUUUAUUUGGUGUUGUGGGGAAUCAGGACUGUUACUUUGAAAAAAUUAGAGUGUUUAAAGCAGGCUCACGCUUGAAUACAUUAGCAUGGAAUAAUGAAAUAGGACGUUUGAUUCUAUUUUGUUGGUUUCUAGGAUCGACGUAAUGAUUAAUAGGGAUAGUUGGGGGCAUUAGUAUUCAAUUGUCAGAGGUGAAAUUCUUGGAUUUAUUGAAGACUAACUACUGCGAAAGCAUUUGCCAAGGAUGUUUUCAUUAAUCAAGAACGAAAGUUAGGGGAUCGAAGACGAUCAGAUACCGUCGUAGUCUUAACCAUAAACUAUGCCGACUAGGGAUCGGAUGAUGUUAAUUUUUUAAUGGCUCAUUCGGCGCCUUACGGGAAACCAAAGUGUUUGGGUUC